ACACCGGAGCGAGGCAUGGACGCCGGGUGCUUGACGGUCACCGCGCCGCCGGCCCACCAGGACAUGGUGGGACGGCGUCGAUACCCGGCCGAGCCAGUGGUGAGACCGGCGCUGCGGACC
rnacentral:ncRNA from 1 species